rnacentral:misc_RNA from 1 species
AUGUAUAACACAAGGCAUGAAGGCUGUCGCUGAUGAAAGUCGUGCACGCCCAAGUGUCCUUACAUCCAUCUCACCCUUGUGCAUCAUCGCGUGGGUCGCCUCUAACAAGAGGUGGCUUGCGUUUUUACACAAACACCUUCAAUGUAUAGUAUGUUUUAACUUGCGAUGUUAAACGCGCAAAAUAAAUGUA